GGCAACUUUUCCUUUGCACUGGUUUUGAUAAAUCUCCGCCAAGAUUCGCAUAGAUAAAAGGACGGGUGACAAACAAAGCCAUCUGUCCUGUGUGGAAGUGACCGAGCAAGACAAUGCAGCCCCUCCACCCUGCUCCAAGCCAUUCUGAGAUUGUUUUUUUCGUGACAUAUUGGACUUUAUAUCAGUGAUAUGUUGGGAUCACAUCACUCAUCUUUGUAAAAGGACCUUCACCGCAGCCAGGAUCGCAGAACGCCAUCCCCGCAACUAUCCUGCUUUAUAAUAUUACUAUUAUAGUUUAAAUAUCUGUUUUGACAUACAACAUAUAAGAAUAAAACAAU